rnacentral:tRNA from 1 species
GCCUUCGUGGUGUAGUGGUCAGCACGCUCGACGCGUAACCGAGAGGUCCGUGGUUCGAUCCCCGGCGAUGGCG